rnacentral:rRNA from 1 species
UACGUAGGCAGCGAGCGUUGUUCGGAGUUACUGGGCGUAAAGGGUGUGUAGGCGGUUGUUUAAGUUUGGGGUGAAAUCUUCCGGCUCAACUGGGAGGGUGCGCCGAAUACUGAAUGACUUGGAGUGCGGGAGAGGAAAGUGGAAUUCCUGGUGUAGCGGUGAAAUGCGUAGAUAUCAGGAGGAACACCGGUGGUGUAGACGGCUUUCUGGACCGUAACUGACGCUGAGACACGAAAGCGUGGGUAGCAAACAGG